AUUGAACGCUGGCGGCAGGCCUAACACUUGCAAGUCGAACGAGCGGCCGACGGGUGAGUAAUGUCUGGGAAACUGCCUGAUGGAGGGGGAUCACUACUGGAAACGGUAGCUUACACCGCCUACAAUCAGAUGUGCCCAGAUGGGCUUAGCUUGUUGGUGGGGUAACGGCGCACCAAGGCGACGAUCCCUAGCUGGCCUGAGAGGAUGAUCAGCCACACUGGAACGGAGACACGGUCCAGACUCCUACGGGAGGCAGCAGUGGGGAAUAUUGCACAAUGGGCGCAAGCCUGAUGCAGCCAUGCCGCGGGUAUGAAGAAUGCCUUCGGGUUGUAAAGUAAUUUCAGCGGGGAGGCGUUACCCGCAGAAGAAGCACCGGCUAACUCCGAGCCAGCAGCCGCGGUAAUUC
rnacentral:rRNA from 1 species